GCUGUGAUCGUAUAGUGGUUAGUACUUCACGGUGUGGCCGUGACAACCCAGGUUCGAAUCCUGGUCACAGCA
rnacentral:tRNA from 1 species